GGAGUUAGCCGGUGCUUCUUCUGUGAGUGAUGUCCUUCCUGCCGGCUAUUAACCCGCAGGCCUUCUUCCUCACUGAAAGUGCUUUACAACCCGAAGGCCUUCUUCACACACGCGGCAUGGCUGGAUCAGGGUUGCCCCCAUUGUCCAAUAUUCCCCACUGCUGCCUCCCGUAGGAGUCUGGGCCGUGUCUCAGUCCCAGUGUGGCUGAUCAUCCUCUCAGACCAGCUACGGAUCGUCGCCUUGGUGAGCCGUUACCUCACCAACCAGCUAAUCCGACAUAGGCUCAUCCGAUAGCGCGAGGCCCGAAGGUCCCCCGCUUUCCCCCGUAGGGCGUAUGCGGUAUUAGCCUGGGUUUCCCCAGGUUAUCCCCCACUACCCGGGCAGAUUCCUAUGCAUUACUCACCCGUCCGCCGCUCGCCACCAGGGAGCAAGCUCCCCGUGCUGCCGCUCGACUUGCAUGUGUUAGGCUCGCCGCCACGCGUCAUCUGAGCGAGAUACAACUACUGA
rnacentral:rRNA from 1 species